GAUGGGCGAUCCCCCGUGUAAGAGUGAGGUGGAGGAGGACAUUCCAGUCCAUGUGACCACAGAAAAUCUCUGUAAGAAUUCUGAAGGAAACUUCAUGUUAUCACUAGAUCAUAUAGUAGAAGAUGAAGAUAUCGAGCAGCGCUCUUCAGGAGAAAACCUCAUUACCCGUAAUAACCAUCCAGGUCUUCACAGUACAAAUCUAUUAUAUAAUGUUCCUAAUCAUGAGGAACUUUCUUCUGACCAAUCACAGAUUGUUA